GGGCGAGUAGCUCAAUGGUUAGAGCCGACCGCUCAUAACGGUCUGGUUGGGGGUUCGAGUCCCUCCUCGCCUACCA
rnacentral:tRNA from 10 species